AUUGAACGCUGGCGGCAUGCCUUACACAUGCAAGUCGAACGGUAACGCGGGGCAACCUGGCGACGAGUGGCGAACGGGUGAGUAAUGCAUCGGAACGUGCCCGGUAGUGGGGGAUAACUGCUCGAAAGAGCAGCUAAUACCGCAUACGACCUGAGGGAGAAAGGGGGGGAUCGCAAGACCUCUCGCUAUCGGAGCGGCCGAUGUCGGAUUAGCUAGUUGGUGGGGUGAAGGCCCACCAAGGCAACGAUCCGUAGCUGGUCUGAGAGGACGACCAGCCACACUGGACUGAGACACGGCCCAGACUCCUACGGGAGGCAGCAGUGGGGAAUUUUGGACAAUGGACGCAAGUCUGAUCCAGCCAUGCCGCGUGCGGGAAGAAGGCCUUCGGGUUGUAAACCGCUUUUGUCAGGGAAGAAAUCUUCUGGGUUAAUACCUCGGGAGGAUGACGGUACCUGAAGAAUAAGCACCGGCUAACUACGUGCCAGCCGCCGCGGUAACAC
rnacentral:rRNA from 1 species